GACGAACGCUGGCGGCGUGCCUAACACAUGCAAGUCGAACGGACGAGGAGGUGCUUGCACCUCCAAGUUAGUGGCGGACGGGUGAGUAACGCGUGAGCAACCUGCCUCAAAGAGGGGGAUAACGUCUGGAAACGGACGCUAAUACCGCAUAACGUAUUUGAUAGGCAUCUAUUGGAUACCAAAGGAGCAAUCCGCUUUGAGAUGGGCUCGCGUCUGAUUAGCUAGUUGGUGGGGUAAAGGCCUACCAAGGCGACGAUCAGUAGCCGGACUGAGAGGUUGAACGGCCACAUUGGGACUGAGACACAGCCCAG
rnacentral:rRNA from 1 species